ACGAUGUCGACUUGGAGGUUGUUCCCUUGAGGAGUGGCUUCCGGAGCUAACGCGUUAAGUCGACCGCCUGGGGAGUACGGCCGCAAGGUUAAAACUCAAAUGAAUUGACGGGGGCCCGCACAAGCGGUGGAGCAUGUGGUUUAAUUCGAUGCAACGCGAAGAACCUUACCUACUCUUGACAUCCACGGAAUUUAGCAGAGAUGCUUUAGUGCCUUCGGGAACCGUGAGACAGGUGCUGCAUGGCUGUCGUCAGCUCGUGUUGUGAAAUGUUGGGUUAAGUCCCGCAACGAGCGCAACCCUUAUCCUUUGUUGCCAGCGGUUCGGCCGGGAACUCAAAGGAGACUGCCAGUGAUAAACUGGAGGAAGGUGGGGAUGACGUCAAGUCAUCAUGGCCCUUACGAGUAGGGCUACACACGUGCUACAAUGGCGUAUACAAAGAGAAGCGACCUCGCGAGAGCAAGCGGACCUCAUAAAGUACGUCGUAGUCCGGAUUGGAGUCUGCAACUCGACUCCAUGAAGUCGGAAUCGCUAGUAAUCGUAGAUCAGAAUGCUACGGUGAAUACGUUCCCGGGCCUUGUACACACCGCCCGUCACACCAUGGGAGUGGGUUGCAAAAGAAGUAGGUAGCUUAACCUUCGGGAGGGCGCUUACCACUUUGUGAUUCAUGACUGGGGUGAAGUCGUAACAAGGUAACC
rnacentral:rRNA from 1 species